AAUUAUAUGCCGAGGCCCAAUAAGAAACAGGCAGCUUAAAAUUCCAAAUUCCCCCUAACACCUUGUGCACUCAGUUGUUCAAACUUAAUUUCUCUCACGCCCAUUCGCAAAUCCAUCGCCGGGAAAAGGUAACUCUUCCAUCUCCAUUCAACAUUGCUUCUCUUCCAUUUGCUCCUUUCAAUUCCUUAAAAACCCUACUUGUAUCCAUAUAUUAUACGUAUAUCUAUAGAUUGUACGCUUCCGAUAUACUCUUAUUCCGUAGAAUCUCUCUAAAACCCUAGAAUGGAGUGGAACCCUGAAACCGCGCAAUUUCUCUCUCAAUGCUUCCUUAACACGCUAUCUCCGUUACCGGAGCCUCGUCGUCGAGCUGAAACGGCACUUUCUGAGGCCUCCGAGAGAUCUAACUAUGGUCUCGCGGUGCUUCAUCUUGUAGCUGAGCCUUCUGUUGAUGAGCAGAUCCGUCAAUCUGCUGCUGUUAACUUCAAAAACCACCUCAAGGCCCGUUGGGUUCCAUCCCCUCCUAAAGAACCAAAUCUUCCUGCCUUAAACCCCAUUUCAGACCCUGAAAAGGAGCUUAUUAAGAGCUUGAUUGUUUCUCUUAUGCUUAAGUCCUCACCCAAGAUACAAUCUCAGCUCAGUGAAGCGUUGGCUGUGAUUGGAAAGCAUGAUUUCCCAAAAGCUUGGCAAACUUUGUUGCCCGAGCUUGUUGCCAACCUUGAUACUUUAACACAAGCUAAUGAUUAUGCUUCUGUUAAUGGUGUUUUAGCUACGAUUAAUUCUCUAUUUAAGAAGUUUCGCUAUCAGUUUAAGACCAAUGAGUUGCUUCUUGAUUUGAAAUACUGUCUUGAUAACUUUGCAAAGCCACUUUUGGAAGUGUUUAAAAGAACCGUGAAUUUGAUCGAUCAAGCUGUCGCAUGUGGGGCUGCAAAUGUCGCAACCCUUAAACUCUACAUAGAGUCUCAGAGGUUGUGCUGUAGGAUAUUUUAUUCGUUGAAUUUUCAAGAGUUGCCGGAGUUCUUUGAGGACCAUAUGGAUGAGUGGAUGAUCGAGUUUAACAAGUAUCUCACUGUGAAGUACUCCGUGCUUGAAGACACUGGGAAUGAUGGUCUUGCUGUUGUCGAUGGCCUGCGUGCUGCAGUGUGUGAAAAUAUUGGUCUUUAUAUGGAGAAAGAGGAAGAACUGUUUCAAAAGUAUCUAAGUGGGUUUGUGGAGGCUGUGUGGAGUCUUCUUGUGGCUUCAUCUGCAUCUUCUAGUAGGGAACGACUUACUGUUACUGCAAUCAAGUUCUUAACCACUGUUAGUACUAGUGUUCAUCAUACUUUGUUUGAAAGAGAUGACAUUCUGGAGCAGAUUUGUCAGAGUAUUGUUAUUCCCAAUGUGAUGCUGAGGGACGAGGACGAGGAGUUGUUUGAAAUGAACUAUAUUGAGUUUAUUAGGCGGGAUAUGGAAGGGAGUGAUCUUGACACUAGGAGGAGGAUUGCUUGUGAACUGCUCAAGGGCAUUGGCAUGCAUUACAAAGACAAGGUCACAGCGAAGGUUUCCCUUCAGAUAAAAAAUUGCUUGGGCUUGUUUUCUCAAAAUCCCGACGCAAAUUGGAAAUAUAAGGAUUGCGCUAUCUAUUUGGUUGUCUCCCUUGCCACUAAGAAGGCAGGUGGUAGUUCAGUAUCAACUGAUCUCGUUGAUGUCGAGAACUUUUUCGGGUCAGUUAUUGUACCAGAGUUGCAAAGUAGGGAUGUGAAUGUCUUUCCAAUGUUGAAGGCAGGUGCAUUGAAGUUCUUUACUAUGUUCAGAAAUCAGCUGCCAAAGGCUGUUGCAAUGGCAUUGCUUCCAGAUGUUGUUCGCUUCCUUGCUUCAGAGUCAAAUGUGGUUCAUUCUUAUGCUGCGAGUUGCAUUGAGAAAUUGUUGCUUGUUAAAGAUGAUGGGACACGAGCAAGAUAUACAGCAGCAGAUAUUAGCCCCUUUUUGUUAGUGUUGAUGACUAACCUUUUUAGUGCCCUGGAGAAGCCAGAAUCUGAGGAGAAUCAAUAUAUAAUGAAGUGUAUCAUGCGAGUGCUAGGAGCUGCUGAAAUUUCUCGUGAUGUUGCUUCUGCUUGCAUAACAGGUCUGACAAAUGUCCUCAACAGAGUCUGCCAGAACCCAAAGAAUCCUAUUUUCAAUCAUUAUCUCUUUGAAUCAGUAGCUGUUCUUAUUAGGAGAGCCUGUGAGAGGGAUCCUACUCUUAUAUCUGCUUUUGAAGGCAGCCUUUUCCCUAGCCUCCAGAUGGUCUUAUCUAAGGAUGUGAGUGAAUUCUUUCCUUAUGCAUUUCAGCUGUUGGCUCAGCUUGUUGAGUUGAAUAGACCUCCUGUACCUCAGCACUACGUGCAGAUCUUUGAGAUUCUCCUUUUACCCGAGUCAUGGAAAAAGUCCGCAAAUGUUCCAGCUCUUGUCCGAUUGCUCCAAGCAUUCCUCCGGAAGGCACCCCAUGAGCUAAACCAGCAGGGCAGGCUGUCUAAUGUUCUGGGUAUUUUCAAUACACUGAUUUCAUCUCCCAGCACAGAUGACCAAGGUUUUUAUGUGCUCAACACGGUUGUUGAAAAUCUUGGGUAUGAUGUAAUAUCACCUUUUAUGGGCCACAUUUGGGUUUCACUUUUUAACCGGCUGCAGCAUGGUAGAACAGUGAAGUUUCUGAAGAAUCUUGUGAUAUUUAUGUCUCUAUUCUUGGUCAAGCAUGGGUUACAGAAUCUUGUGGUUUCAAUGAAUGCUGUUCAGAAGGAUGUAUUUCAGACCAUUGUGGAGCAAUUUUGGGUGCCUAACCUCAAGUUAAUCACAGGAUCUGUUGAACUCAAGCUGACUUCAGUUGCUUCAACUAAACUAAUAUGUGAAUCUUCAACAUUAUUGGAUUCCAAGGUUCGGGGAAAAAUGCUUGACAGUAUUGUUACUCUUCUCUCCAGACCAGAGGAAGAGAGAGUGUUGGAUGAGCCAGAUGUUCCAGACUUUGGGGAGACUGUGGGUUAUAAUGCUACUUUCGUUCAUCUUUAUAAUGCUGGGAAGAAAGAAGAGGACCCUUUGAAGGAAGUGAAUGAUCCAAAGCAAUAUUUGGUGGCUUCCUUGGCGAAUCUUGCUGCUCUUUCCCCUGGAACAUAUCCGCAGAUUAUUAGAGAAAAUCUUGAGGCAGCAAAUCAAACAGCUCUUCUUCAGCUCUGCAGCUCCUAUAAUCUCUCAAUAGUUUGAGAAGAACCCAUGUGGUGGUGUAGGAGGAGAGUUGAUCUUUAUUACAUAUGCUUAUGAACUUAGGCUUUGUCCACUCCCCAGGGAUUUUGUUCUAUGGUAAAGAUAGUACAGCGCGGGAUGUUCCGUAGGCUCAGAUCAUGAGUUUGAAAUUUGGUGGAGAGCAGGUCUAGUAUUGAAGUGGGACCUGUGGUCAAGAAGGCCGGUUCGUGGGGUACUGUGGAAUCUGUUUUAUUAUGUUGCUUAUAGAUCUGAUGAAGCAGUCUAUCUGAUAGGGUGAAGCGAACAGUUGAUUGAGUUUGCAGCUGGUUCGUUACUUUGUGGAGUCAGGCAUUGUGCUUCGAGUUUUCGUUCUUUCAUCUUCCCGUCGCCUGUGGCAGUAGCCUCUGUUGCGACGGACAUUUUGGCCGGAGAAAGUCAUUUUUUGUUUUUUUCUGGGGUGGGCUGUCAAAGCAUAUUUGGUUCUUAGUCAUGAUGGGGGAUUUGCUUCAUUUAGGAUUUUGAUAUGUUAAUGUGUUCCAAGUAAAAUAGAAAUGAAAUGGUCAAACACCUGUAAUAUUCGGAAUUGAGCUGUUGUCAGUCAUUUUGCUGUCUUGUGCUUGUCAAAUUUUGUGCCCGCUGCAUCAACGAUGGAAUAUAAUGGUUGCUAAAUCUGGAAUUUUAUUUGCUAAAGAGUUUAUUUUCAAGUUCA